GACGAACGCUGGCGGCGUGCCUAAUACAUGCAAGUAGAACGCUGAAGAGAGGAGCUUGCUCUUCUUGGAUGAGUUGCGAACGGGUGAGUAACGCGUAGGUAACCUGCCUUGUAGCGGGGGGUAACUAUUGGAAACGAUAGCUAAUACCGCAUAACAAUGGAUGACACAUGUCAUUUAUUUGAAAGGGGCAAUUGCUCCACUACAAGAUGGACCUGCGUUGUAUUAGCUAGUAGGUGAGGUAAUGGCUCACCUAGGCGACGAUACAUAGCCGACCUGAGAGGGUGAUCGGCCACACUGGGACUGAGACACGGCCCAGACUCCUACGGGAGGCAGCAGUAGGGAAUCUUCGGCAAUGGGGGCAACCCUGACCGAGCAACGCCGCGUGAGUGAAGAAGGUUUUCGGAUCGUAAAGCUCUGUUGUAAGUCAAGAACGGGUGUGAGAGUGGAAAGUUCACACUGUGACGGUAGCUUACCAGAAAGGGACGGCUAACUACGUG
rnacentral:rRNA from 1 species